rnacentral:rRNA from 1 species
CUGAUCUCAAAUCAGGUAGGACUACCCGCUGAACU